GAGUUGGCUGGUGGGCAAGUCACACGGGACACAGGGUGAUGAGGGCGGGGCUUCUUCUAUCUUCAGCCUUCAUUCAUUUAUUCCUGCUUCACUGAAUGAACAUUUAAGGAAUAGUUAAUAUAAGGCAAGGACAGAGCAUGGCUCCAGAUGAAAGCAGGAAGGGUAAGUGGGAGCAGAGGGAGGGGAAUAAAUGUUUAUUGACUUCUGAUUACGAACCAGACACAGACUUAUGUUAAAACUGAUGCUCUCUAGGAACUCAGUUCUGUUUUUUAAAAAGAAACAUCUCAACAGGAAGCAUAGUGAACACAGGUGAGAGUGGAGUGAGGAGUUGGUAGGGGGUCAGCUCUGAGGGAUUGGGGUGCUGGGAGCCCAGGAGGCCUUCCUGUAGAGGAGACUGGUGUUAGAACAGGAGUCAGAGGGUCAGGGGCAGGUGACAGCAAGGCCGCCACGGGAGCCACUCACAGAGCGUCCACAGGCACAGAGACAACAGCUCUGUGGGGGGUGCUACCUCCCACCCUAAGGAGAUCAGAUUGGGACUGAGGCAGAGAUCAGACUGGGACCUAGCCCGGAAAGGAACAGGAGCUGAUCUGUGUUCCCUUCACUGAGAAGAGACAAUGUAUUACCGAUUGCUCACUGAGAGAGAAACUUCCUCUUUUCUUUUCCUUUCCUUCCUUCCUGUCUUUCUUUUUUCUCCUCUGAGCUUUCACCCCCAACAUAGCUCACAAACUCAGAUGCCUACACAAGUAGGUGUGUCAGAGACUGUCUCCCCUGAAAGCUCCAUCCCAGCUCGUGCACCUCCUGGAGGGCAGGCCCAGCGUGACCAGACCUGCCUGGUCUCCAAGGGAGGCUAGAAACCCACAAGCUGUGACGUCUCCCCAUUUUUAAAUUUCAGUAACCAGUUCAAAGUUGUAACAACCGCGGGUGCGCUGUGGUUUGCCACCUGACAUCAACAUCACAUCCUCCAUGAGAGACACAUGCGGGGAGGACAGACUCCGCAGAAGGAAGGCACAUGUGAGAGGGGAAACACGAUCGAGUGGAAGAUAAUGAGGCCCCGAAGUGACUACACAACCCCCGGUGGAUGGAGGCCAAAGCGCUGCCCUUGGUCACUACUUCCUGAGACGGUGGCUGCAGAAUGUCCUGAUGGGACUCCUGCCAGGCCUCAGCUCGGCAGCCCUCCAGAUCUGACCUCAAGCGGGAAAACAGCAAGGAUGAUUUCGACUGUUAAAUCAAGAAAGCAGACAUUCGGUCACCUAACUUCCCACAGGACUUGA
rnacentral:lncRNA from 1 species